rnacentral:lncRNA from 1 species
CAACCAGUCAAUCUAAAAAAAAAUGGUUUGAUUUGUCCUUCCUGUGACAUCAAAACAUACGGCAUAUGUCACCCUAAUGUGUACGUUGAAUGUUUUGGGAAUGAAACAAAGUGUAUCAAACACUUUACAGAGUUUUCAAAAGGUAAAAUAUAUUGCAAUACAAUAUUAAAAAUUCUCUAUAGAACAAAGACAACAAUGUUUAAGGAAACUGCAAAGCAACAUGACUUACCUUUCCGGUUUCGUGCAUACCAUAUGUUGUGUAAAUCCUUGUUAUAUAAGUAUUCUAUAUUAUCUUAGAUAUUCUGAGUUAAAAUAACUGAUCAAAGUUGGUAAAUACAACAACUUCAAUAUCUAAUUAAAUAAUACAUUGGCAGUUUCAAUUAGGGACAACCCAAUCCAUUCGAGAUUUCCAUUUUUUUUUCUAAGGUUGUAAAAUAUAUUAUUGGCCUAUAAUAAAUAUAAACACCUUAUCUAUCCAUCUAUUAUAUAAUUCAGGAUAGUGCAAAUAUUAAUUAUCAUUGUCUCAAUCCUAACACAGGAAUUUUCUCAAAUUAACUAAAUUAAAACUCUGCUCAAGCAAAAGUGAAAGAGCAUACAAUUCAGCAGGAGUGUGAAUGAAAGUGAUGGUGAAUAGAUGUGACUAUUAAGAGUGUGUGCAGGUUACAUAAAGUUAGUGAACCAUAUAUUAACAUAUGGAGAGCCAGCACCAUAUACAGUGAGAGUUUGGUACAAAAGGCAAAUGAAAGGGAGAGCUAUGAUACAGCAUUUUUAACUCAAAUCAUGCCUUUGUUCCCUGAUCCCAAAAAUCCAAAAGCUGUAAAUGAUAUGGUCUAUUCGAUCCCACCCACUCACCCAUAAAGAGUAACUACCCCCACAAACAUACAAAACAAAAACAAAGAAAAGUUAACCGCUUAGGGACUGGGGCAAUUUUACAAGUUCUAAUCAAAACAAAAUCUAAACAAAACCUGAAUUUUUACUACAUGUCUGUUCAACCAUAAUGUAUCUCUUCCAUACCAAGUGCAUCCACACUUAUUGUAUAUAACGGUGUUCAGGAAAAAACAGGGAUUUCAUUUCAAAUCAAAUGUUUAUAUAAGAAAUAUAAUUUUAUAUUAAUCAAAUUCAAAAAGGUAUGAAAAAUUAAGACAUUUUUGUAAUUUCUUUUGCAUGGCAUUUUAACUGUGAAUGUCAUAACACUGUUAACUUUAACUGCACUAAAAUACACAUAUUUGUGUUCAGAGAUGUCUAACAGUUACAACAGUAUCAACUUUUGUACUAGUUGUAUGGAGUUUUGGAAACUUACAGUGUCAAAUAUAGGGCUUUCCCCUUUUCAGUUUUUACACAUUGAAAUUUGCCAGAAUGGUUAUGUUGCCUUUGAUAUAAAAAUGAAACCCACCAUGACAUACUAUUUGCAAAAGUAGACAACCCAGUGUAUUCAAAAUAGAGUAUGUACAGGCUUGUUUAGUAGCUACUUAGUUACAAACCCUGGUCACAGUUAGCAUUCAUAUUUGUUUUUCAAAUUUUCACAAAAAAACUCCCCUUUCACUGAUGAUAUAAUCAGCACUAUAUGUUUUACUGCUCUAAAACAGUCAUAUUUAUGUUCAGCGAUGUUUCACGAGUACAACAGUGUUUUAAAGUUACAGGUUAGGGGGAACUAUUUGAAGCAUUUGUUGUGCUGAGCUAUUUCAAUUGCUUUUGUUUAAUCUGGUAAUUGCAAACAGCUGAAAGUUUGUAAAUCUUUACAAUAAACUUAAAUACAUUUCAGACAUUUCGAAAUGUUGGCACUGACUUUGAAAAUAUGACUGAUCAUGCAAAAAGAUUUUAUUUAUAAGCAUUUUAUUGAAGGAUAGUGAUCAUAUGAAACCAUUUAUUAUCACAUGGUUGUUUGGCUCCCUUUUAAAUUGUAACAAUAACAGAAAUCACCCAAAUGGCCCUGAUCCAAAGUUUACAUACCCUUGAAUGUUUGGACUUGUUAAAGGGACACUAUAGUCACCAAAACAACUGUAGCUUAUUGUAUUUGUUCUGGUGACUAGAAUCAUUCCCUUCAGGCUUUUUGCAGUAAACAGUGUAUUUUCAGAGAAAAUGCAGUGUUUACUUUACAGCCUAGGGGUAGGCUACAAGAGGUGUUUCCUGGGGCAGUAUUCAGUAUUCAGUGCACCCUCUGCAUGCAGACACUGAACUUUCCUCAUAGAGAUACAUUGAUUCAAUGAAUAUCUAUGAGGUGAUGAUGAUCAGGGCUGUUUAACUAGUUCUGGCUCUGCCCCUGAUCUGCCUCAUUGACAAUAUCAGCCAUUCCUAUGGGAAAGCAUUCUGAUUGACUCAGAAUAACACUUCUAAACAUGUCAGCCAAGCAGGCAGAUCAGGGGCAGAGUUAUCAUCAGCAUACUUGAACAAAAGUACGAUUUUACUAUAUUUAGUGGUGUAGGGGGGCAAGGGAGCUAGAUGGUGGUUUUAACACAAUAGGGUCCGGAAUAUAUGUUUGUGACACAUACACAGGUUAAAAUGGCAAUUAAAGUUAAUUUCCCACACCUGUUGCUUUUUAAAUUGAAGCUAGUGUUUGUGUAUAAAUAGUCAAUGAGUUUGUUAGCUCUAAUGUGGAUGUACUGAGCAGGCUAGCAAGCUAGAUACUGAGCCAUGAGGAGCAGAAAAUAACAGUCAAAAUACCUGCAUAACAAGGUAAUGAAAAUUUAUAAAGAUUGAAAAGGAUAUAAAAAGAUAUUCAAAGCCUUGAAAAUACCAGUCAGCAGAGUGACGUAUGACGUAGUUACUUUGACAUCGGAGGCGGGGCUAUCAGGAGGCGAGACCUAUGAUCAUCGCUGUACAUGUGGAACGCUGUCAGCUCCUGCACUGAGAGACGAGGAAAAGCUAGCUGUACCCGGGUCGAUGGAAGCAGCCUUUGAGGUGAAGUUGAAGCAGAAAACGGAGAGCAUUCAUUCUGAGUGCUUUCUUUUUUUUUUUUGAAGAUUAGGAAGGGGACUUGUGAUGGAGUUAAGCCAAGUGGAAGGAACAAUAUUGGAAGGGAAGAACGUCCUCAAACGACCGGAAAAGAUAAGUAAAUCUAUUUUUGUAAUCUAUGUACAAUUUAUGCAUUUGGAUCCCUCUACUGGAUUUGCCCCAGUAAAGAGGUUAAAAAGUAAAUCAAGGCAUAUUGAUAGACCUGCAGCAAUUCUAUACAAUCAUUUAAUAAGCGCAGGCUAACUACAUAAGAAUACUGGAUUAAGCAAAACCAUUAAGGGUUGUGUGGUCCAAAAAGUAUAAAGAUAUAAAGACAGAAGGAAAGAUGGGAAGAGGAAAGAAGAAGGAAAAAUAAAAAGGACACAAGAAAAAGUGAUUAUAGAGCCUUUAAGCAAUAAAGAUGGCUUCAAAAAAGGUACAGGAAGACAAGAAGAAAAAAGAUAAAAAGGAACAGCUACCAGAGAAAAGAUUAUCAGGUUUUUUUUCUCCUUCCCAAAAUAAAUCCCAAAUAUCCCCAUAUAAUGGGGAUGCAAUAACUCUGCAAAAACACAAUCCCCCUUGGGACGCCCAGGGGCUUAGGCCUUUAACAGAAGAGAUUGUGACCAGUUAUCUGGAAAAAUGAUCUAACAGUAUAAAAGGUGACAUCACGACCAGCACUAUGGAAUUAGAUCAAGAAUUAAAAACCAUGCAGGAAAAACUUGCUACGGUAGAAGUCAAUUUCUCACAGAUUGAUACAAAAUGUAAUCAAUUACAGAUGAUAUUCUGAGACAUGAAGAUAAAAUUUGCUCAACUGGAAGUCAAGAUAAACUUUAUGGAGGAUUGUUCAAGAAUAUCAAACAUCAGAAUUUGCAAUAUCCCGGAAGCUAUUUCUAACACUAUUCUGAAGGACUUUCUCACUGAAUAUUAUAUAAGCUUAAUACCUGAAGAAGGGAUUUUCUUUUGGACCGUUUUUACCAUUUACCAAGAGCUCAAAAAAUAUCAGAUUCUCUCCCUCGAGAUGUCAUUGUCAAAUUCCAUUCUUACCACACUAAGUUCAGAAUCAUGGCCUCAUUGAGAAGCAAACCGGCAUUGGAAGAUAAAUUCAAAAAUCUAAUUAUAUUCCCAGAUCUAUCAUUUCAUAUGAGAGUGUGGCGAAAAAAUUUGUUUACAUCUGAACAUUCUGAGACAAAGAAAUGUGAAAUAUAUCUAGGGUUUCCCAACUUCACUUAGAUUAUACUUGAUGGAUAGGAUGGAAAUGUUUGACACUCCUGAGACGCUUGCCAAAUGGAUGGAAAAAAACCAAAUAAUUGGCUAAUAAUACCAAACAAGAUAGGGUUAAACGGUUGAAGAAUAAUUUAACUGGUCAAUUAUAUAAGUAACAUAUAAGUAAAUUUAUUAUUUUUAUUUAUUUUUGCAAAUUUUUUCAUAAUCUUCCACCCUUUGAAUCAAACGAUAGAAGUAAAGUAAAAAAUAAUAUUGGUUUUUGAAUAGAUGGUAUAAAUAAGGGAAUGCUGGAUAACAGGGGUACACGAACUAUGGGGGUGAGCAAGAAGUAUUUAGAAAAAAGGGGUUGAAGCAGUAAGAUUUGGAUAAUUAAGAAACAUAAUUAGAGGUAUAUAAGUUGAUAGCACUCAUGUUAGCACUUUAAUUAUUAAUCUUUGAAAAUAAAACAAAAUUAUAUUAAUAAUGAAAAUUGCACAGAGUGAAUAAGUAUAUGGGGAAUUAACAAUAAAAACACUAUAGAGUUUUUUUUCUGUUAGAAGCAAUAAUAGGUUAAGCUGUGCGGUCUAGUAUUAAAUGCUGUUGUAUUAUAGGAAGGGGAGUUGGAGUCUCGCAAUACCUCAUGCCUCUCUGAGUGUCUAAUUUAUGGGCACAAAAACAGAGGAGUUCACGCACUCCAUGUAGGAUUGACUCAUUCUCGGAGGGACGGGGGAAUGACAAAAAAUAGCUUAUUUUAGUUUGUUUCUUUUGGUUUUGGGAUACUGUGGCUCCCUCUUCUCCCUGAGAAGGAUGUCGAUCCAGGCCAGUCUGGAUGAUUUGAUCAGGUGGCCAAGUUUUGUAUGUUUUCUAUGUUAUAUAUAUAUGGUAUGUUAGUAAUUAUGUACAUACCUUUGGGGAUGGGGGGGAGGCUUAUCUUAUACAGGACAAUGGUUAAAAUUAUAUCUGUGAAUGUUCAGGGCCUAAACUCUCCCCAUAAGAAAUCUACAUUAUUUAAUUAUAUGCUUAAAAACAAAGUGGAGGUAGGUUUCUUACAGGAAACACACUGGAGGGAAGUUGAUAAAGUCAGAUGGGUAGGUACUAGAUUACCCAUCCUAUUUCAAACUUCAGUUAAAGAUAAAAAAGAAACAAGGGGUAGCUAUAAUAUUUUCCCAAUCACUACAAGUGGACAUAUUAUAUUGAUUUAAAGACCCGGAGAGUAGAUUUUUAAUUAUUAUUUGCAAGCUAAAUGAGAUUAACUACACUCUGAUUAACAUCAAUCUACCAAAUGACUCUCCGGUUUUAGUUUUGAAAACAAUUCUGGAACAGGUGGAAUUAUUAAUAAACAGGAAUCUGUUUAAUAGCAGCGGACUUUAACUGUGUGUUGAACCCAAAAAUAGACAAAAUAUUCUCUAAGAAAGAACCGACAAAUUAUAGAUUAGUUAAACUGGCUAAAUCAUUGAGUAGUAUUACGGUUACCUCCAGGCUAGCUGAAAGUUGGACCGCUUGGACAUCCUGGUUCCCGAUCUUGGAGAGUGAGAGCGCUGCUCCGAUCAGCAUCCAACAAUAAUUCCUGGAAAUGUAGAAAAUCCCACAAGCUAUUAGCAAAGCUGGGAUAACACCUUUUCCUACAACACGAGUCGAGGCUGCGAGUUGAGGGUAAAACAAACUGGUUUAAUUGGUGGUCAUGCACAGUAAUUUAUACAAGUUUUCAGGCCAGAGGACAACCCCCUGGACCUGAUGGUACACUGGACAAUGCAAUGUCCCAACCAAUAAGAGUAAAGUGCAUUUUCUGAAACACUUCCCCCUACCCUGGAGAUAAUUGGUCUCAACGGUUACAGUAACUCAAUUAUCUCCAGGUACAUGAAAAUACCCACGUUUUAUUCAACACACGAAAACAGCAUAAAAAUACAUAACUUUCACAUUAUUUUACUGAAAUAUUCUAUCUGACCCCUCUCCAGACAGCUUGGAUCUAAGCGCACAAAAUAUACAAAUUGUGCUCAGAUCUCAUGAAUGAUGUAUGAAAGUCACGGAAAUAAAGUGUGUCUAUAUGGCUUUCGUGUUUCUUUGCCCGAACUGAUGAGACAACUGAAAACUCAGUGGGAUUCGUGCAACCCAGUGUCCGAUAAUAGUUCCAGGGUUUUGAUGAUCAAGUCCCGCUGGGUGUUCAAUGACAAAAGAUGGGCGUCACCUCGUUUUCGGCAUACGAAAGGCGACCACCUUGGUGAUAAGUGAUUAUGUUGCGUUUAACCACAGAAAACGCAGCUUCAUGGUGGUUAAGUGAAGACACACGCCAGUGUCUAGGUGGUCUUCGGUCGGUAGUUAUUUCGGUAUUUUGUUUGUCACCCCGUUUGGUCCUUUAUGUACGAACGGUGACCACCCUGAUGCCAGCCGAUUAGUCUGUGGUUAACCACAACCCGCAGCUCCAGGGUGGUUAUUGUCAACACACUUCUCAGGUAGGGUGGUCUGCCAUUCAUCAGUUUAUUCAGUGUUUUAAAGGUGAACAGGGUUAACUAGCGGCACACACUAAGGGCUGGGUGGUCGGUCAUUCGUGCAUAUGAAUGGCCUACAAAGGAUGUUCGCAUAAGAACAAAGUAUCCAAAUUGAAACUAAAGUAUCCGUUUGUAGCAGACAGAUUACAGAUUACUUGUUACAGAUCUCUGUAACAAGUAGUAAUAUGAAUAAGUUUGAUUAUUUUGAUUUGUGGAGAACUUCAUAUCCUGGAAAGUCUCAUAUUAUGUUUUUUUUCUAGAGUACAUUUGUCAUACUCGCGAAUUUGAGGCAACCUUGCCUCUCUGGAAAACUUAGAAGAUAUAAAAAUUCUGGAUAAUUCUUGUUCAGACCAUAGCAUUAACAUGUGGUCAAUGAAGGAGAAAUGGAACAAAAUUAACAGAGAUACCUGGCGGUUAAACAAUCACCUACUGUACAAUAAAACAUAUCUUGAGAUAUUUAAAAAACAGAUAAUUUGUUUGUUUGCAGAAAAUUAUCCUAGAGACAUCUCAUACACUAACAAUUGGUGUGCUUUUAAGUCUACCAUGAGAGGGAACUUCAUAAGUCUGUAUGCAAAGUUUUAAACAGAAAGUAGUGCAGAAAUGGUAACUCUGCAAACGAAAUUAAUAAAAGCUUCUAAUAAAAAUAAACAAACUCCCUCUAGAGAGAACUCACAGACUUUGCAUAAGAUACAGAAUCAAAUUAACUUAAAACCUCUAGAAAAUAAUGUAAAAAUUCUAAACAAACUAAGAUGCAAGUAUUAUAGUAAAGGAAACCAAGCAGACAGGUUACUGACAAAAAAAUUGAGAGGCAGUAGAAGUAGAAUCGUAAGGCUGACAGAUGAGGAAAGGGAAUUGGAGAUUGCUUCAAUUUAUAUUAUAGCAUAAUAAUCUUCCAAUUAUUAAUAAAAAAUAUGAAGGACUACUUUGAGAAUAAUAACACCCCUAAGAUCUCGGAUAGCCAAAAAACUAGUUUAAACUGCCCAAUAACUGCCCAAGAGGUGGAGAAGAUAAUUCUUAACCUUAAGUCUACAAAAAUCCAGGACCAGAUGAUUUUUCAAAUUUGUUUUACAGUUCCUUUGUAGACUUGAUUAGCACUCAUCUAGCUUGCACGUUUAACUAUAUUAUCACAAGGGGGGUUUCCCUAGACAAAUGCUUAGAGCCAACAUUCUUCCAAUACUAAAGCAGGAUAAAGAUCCAUCAAAAGUGGAAAGCUACAGACCAAUGUAUUUGAUAAAUACUGAUGUAAAGAUCUUCUCGGCAAUAUUAGAAAAACAGACUGAAAGAUACCUUAAAUAACAUCAUUAAUAAGGACCAAAUAGGUUCUGUCCCGGAACGAGUAUAAUACGAGGCAUAUAAUAGAUAUAUUAGAUGACGCUAAUAAGAAAAAAGUCCCAUUGUUGAUUUUAGCAGUGGAUGCUGAGAAGGCAUUCAACAGGGUCAGUUGGGAGUUCUUGCACAACACGCUGGAGAAAUUUGGUAUUCAUGACUGGAUGUACCGGGCAAUCCUGUCAGUAUACGACAGCCCUACAGCAAGAACAGUGGGACCUAACAUCUGUGCGGACUGGUUCACAUUACACAAUGGAACCAGACAGGAAUGCCCGUUAUCCCUAAUCUUGUAUGUUAUGACAAUGGAAAUAUUGGCAAAUAAUAUUAGAAACAACUCUUUACUAAAAGGAUUCUCUACUAAACAGAAAGAUCUUAAGCUGAACCUUUAUUCAGAUGUCCUGAUCGUGACUCUAACCGACCCUGUCGAAUUGCUAAAAGUUCUAAUUAAGGACUUGGAAGCAUACAGUUUUAUAUCAAACUAUAAAAUGAAUGUGCAUAAAUCAAUAUCAAUGACCAUCAAUAUAGAUAGAAGCGGCAGGUCCCAUUUGGAAGAGUGGUACAAAUUUAAAUAGUCUAGAAAUACCUUACCAUAUUUGGGCAUAAUAAUAACUAAAAAUAUAGCGGAGGUAAUGCAGUCAAAUUUUUUAAGUAUGUUCAGAUAUACUCAUAGCUCCCUGAAAAAAAUGGAGGCAUGUCGAGUUAUCUUGGUGGGGGAGAAUUAACCUAAUUAAUGCCUAUCUGAUGCCUAAAUGGUCUUAUUUAUUCUGUUUGCUUCCCUUAAGAAUGACUCAACCUUGGCUUCAUUUGGUAGGAGAAAAAGCCAACAAUUAACAAAAACAAUUGAUGCAGAAAAGUAAGGAUGGUGGGAUAUACUUUCCUAAUAUGUAUUAUACAUAUUUUUCAAAUAUUGUUUUCCAUUUGUAUAGGACACAACUAUACAGUAGUAAAGAAGACUGAUGGCAUAUAUUAGAAACGGAAAUGAGUGGGGUAGAAGAUUUGAGUCAUUUGGUGUGGUUGGGGAAAAAGGAUGAACGGGUUUAAAUGGCUGGCGCUUCUAACACCUGUUUGGAUUCACUGCUCUAUGAAUGGGGUAAAAUGAAACACAUGAGUGGGCUAGGAAAUAAAGUACAGAGAAGCUUCAAAUGAUCUGAUAUUCAAUUAUUUGUAAUGGAUUUACAUAUUGAAGAGUAGACCCGAAAGGGCAUAAAGCAAAUUAAUCAAUUAUUGUUAAAUGACAACAUUAAACCAUUCGCAAAAUUAUUCAAGAGUUUCAGCUAUUGACAAAAUAAUUGUACAACUAUUUCAGGAUUACAAAUUUUAUAAAACAAAAUGUUCUUUCUAACUCUUCAGAGGGCAUAGAAAUUUUAAGUGCAAUACUAAAUAAUGAGGCGGUAUUACAAGUAGCUUCUAAAGCCAGAAGAGGUUUGCUAAAUAUUAAAGCUCCUACUAAUAAUUUGAUAGUCCAAAAAUGAAAGACCUUAAAAUCUAAAUUUCAUGGGAGGAGUGGUGUCGGGUGCUAUCUCAAACAAGUAAAAAUAUACACUGUUUGUAUAUCAUAGUAAUGGUAUUCAAGGUACUGAACAGGUGGUAUAUGGUACCAUCUAAGAUGGCUAAAAUGUAAAAUCCUAGUUUCCUGAUCUGCUGGAGAUGUAACAAACACUAUGGCUCUUUUUUACAUAUACGGUGGGAGUGUGAUUUGGUGAAAGAGUUAUGGUCAAUGUUUUUUUUGUGGGCUAGAAAGGUUAAUGGGGAAAUGAAUCCCCAGAGGUCCAGAAAACAUAUUAUUACAGCUCAAUAUUCAAAAUGCACAGUUUAAAAAUGUGUAUGUAUAUAUAUAUAUAUAUAUAUAUAUAUGUACGUUAUAUGGGGCAGCCAAACUAAUUGUUGCACAAAAUUGGAAGAGCUUGGCAAACUUUAGAUUUGAGCACUUUAAAAUACAAGUCCUAUACCAAUUAAGGAUGGAUUCUUUAUUUUCCAAGCCAUAUCAAAAAAUCAGGAGAUAGGUAAGCAUUGGUUUGAAAAAAUGGAGAGUGAGGGUAGUAAUACCUGAACAAAAUAUUUGUAUCAAAACUAUUGUUGCUAGGAAAAAUAUUGGUAGGAGUCCCACCCAACAUUCCCCAUGGUGUUGUUGUAAGUGUUGUAAUACAUUGAUGAUUGCCGUAGAGCUGGAUUUAAGGUGUUCAGUGUAGGGCAAUUGCCCUGGAUAUGUCUUUUGUAUGGAAAACCAAAUAAAAAAGUUAUUAAAAAAAAUGCCAGUCAGCACUGUUCAGUCACUUAUUAACAAGUGGAAAAUCUAAGGAUCUCUUGAUACCAAGCCAUGGUCAGGUAGACCAAAAAAGAUUUCAGCUACAACUGCCAGAGGAAUUGUUCGGGAUACAAAGAAAAACCCACAAGUAACCUCAGGAGAAAUACAAGCUGCUUUGGAAAAAGACAGUGUGGUUGUUUCAAGGAGCACAAAAUGACGAUACUUGAACAAAAAUGAGCUGCAUGGUCGAGUUGCCAGAAAGAAACUUUAACUGUGCCAAUGCCAAAAAAAAGUCCGGUUACAAUAUGCUCAACACCACCUUGACAUGCUUCACAGCUUCUCGCACAAAUUUGGAGUGACGAGACCAAAAAAGAGCUUUAUGGUCACAACCAUAAGCGCUAUGUUUGAAGAGGGGUCAAACAACUGCACUCUUCUGGACAGUGAUCUCAGAUGUCCCACCUGGAAUCUUUUUAAGUCACUCCCCCAACUUGGGAGUCACAGCCCAGAGUGCUUCUAUCACAACUGGGACUACUACUGCCUUCACUUUCCACAUCUUUUCUUGUUCUUCUUUCAGUCCUUGGUAUUUGUCCACCUUCUCAUGUUCUUUCUUCCUGAUUUUAUAGUCACUGGGUAUUGCCACAUCCACCAUGACUGCAGUCUUUCGUUACUUGUCUACCACCACGAUGUCUGGUUGGUUGACCAGCACUUGCUUGUCUGUCUGGAUCUUGAAGUCCCAUAGGAUCUUAGCCCUGUCAUAUAUAUAUUUUUCAAAUAUUGUUUUCCAUUUGUAUAGGACACAACUAUACAGUAGUAAAGAAGACUGAUGGCAUAUAUUAGAAACGGAAAAGAGUGGGGUAGAAGAUUUGAGUCAUUUGGUGUGGUUGGGGAAAAAGGAUGAACGGGUUUAAAUGGCUGGCGCUUCUAACACCUGUUUGGAUUCACUGCUCUAUGAAUGGGGUAAAAUGAAACACAUGAGUGGGCUAGGAAAUAAAGUACAGAGAAGCUUCAAAUGAUCUGAUAUUCAAUUAUUUGUAAUGGAUUUACAUAUUGAAGAGUAGACCCGAAAGGGCAUAAGCAUUUUACUUCAAGACCGUGAGUGCUAGCCAAUACUUACACUUUGUAUAUAUUUAUUGCACCCUGCAAUGAUAUUUGCAGAAUACUGCUGUGUAUAUAUCUGAGUGCAAGGACUGGACAUUUUUGUUAUAUAUAUAUAUAUAUAUUAUACAAAACAAAAGUACAUUGUGUAGUAUGUCAAGGUACAGAAGAUAAUAUAAACAUAUGGUAAAACACAUUCACAUACUGCUGAGUCAAUCAAAAGCUAACUCAGUCUUUAGAACUAUGUGUAAGUAUCCUUCGAUAUGGAUCGAAUUUCUCCACUUAGAUUUAAUGUUCCAACUGCUCUUAUUGGCAAGAAUCCAGACUUUAUUAAAUUGACAGUAAAAAUUACAAAAAUAAAAAAUAAACUAAUAAAAUUUGAAUAGUAGAGAAUCGCUGUUCCUAUUUAGGAGGGACAGACCCUAUUUUGGCCCCCAAAUUACUCUGUUCCUCUCUUCUAUUCUAAUGUCCCUAUUUUCUAGGAGGUCCAUCUCGUAGGUGUGUCUGAAUGUAUAAUAAGUUCCACAGCAAUAAUACUCCCAUUAAUGUGUCCUGAAACUACUGUAAAUAUGUUUAGAAAUCAGACUGUGGGAAUAAAAUACACUGUCCUUGUUAUAAAUUAAAUUAAAUUAUAUGUAGUUGAAUAAAUUAGUAAGUUAACUAGAAUGUCUCCAAAUAGACCUGCCCGUGACCACAGCUCCAUUAACAUUCUUAAACUAGUGUCCCUAUGUGUCAAUUUAAAGAGUUGAGAGAUAGGGUUAAUGAAAAUAUAAUUUAUGAUGAUGUUUACAUGUUAAUUGAGGAAACUGUAUUUUCAAAAGAAACUCAAACGUGAAGUUUAAAAGUCCUUCUUUUAUAUUUUCAGGACACCUGAUCAACAGACUAACCACCCAUGGCUGUGCCUCUCCUAAGAUCUGUGGUAGCCUUAAUCGAACAGUCACCAAAGAUUUCAAAACCUUUAAAGAAGUGAAAACCUGCACAAUUGCCAAAAACUGUAGCUGCC